AUUGAACGCUGGCGGCAUGCCUUACACAUGCAAGUCGAACGGUAACGGGCCUUCGGGUGCCGACGAGUGGCGAACGGGCGAGUAAUACAUCGGAAAGUGCCCGAUCGUGGGGGAUAACGAGGCGAAAGCUUUGCUAUACUGCAAACGGAUAAGCGAUGAAAGCGAGGGGCCGGAAGGGCAUAGGCGGGGCGGGCGGGCGAGGGCUGGGUGGGUAGUUGGUGGGAUAAAGCUUACCAAGACGACGAGCUGUUGCUGGGCGGAGAGGAUGAGAGGCCACACUGGGACUGAGACACGGCCCAGACUCCUACGGGAGGCAGCAGUGGGGAAUUGUGGACAAAGGGCGCAAGCCUGAUCCAGCCAUGCCGCGUGCAGGAUGAAGGCCUUCGGGUUGUAAACUGCUUUUGUACGGAACGAAACGCCUUCUUUUAAUACAGGAGGGUCAUGACGGUACCGUAAGAAUAAGCACCGGCUAACUACGUG
rnacentral:rRNA from 1 species